GACUGUAGGCUGCAACUCGCCUACACGAAGUCGGAAUCGCUAGUAAUCGCGGAUCAGCAUGCCGCGGUGAAUACGUUCCCGGGCCUUGUACACACCGCCCGUCACACCACGGGAGUUUGUAACGCCCAAAGUCGGUGGCCUAACCUUUAUGGAGGGAGCCGCCUAAGGCGGGACAGAUGACUGGGGUGAAGUCGUAACAAGGUAUC
rnacentral:rRNA from 1 species